GAAGGAUUUUGUUUGAGGAUACUCGGGUGUUGGGCUUAUGGGAUGAUGCAUUUGGACUGUUCGGGUUUGGCUUGCAGACGGUUUGUUUCCACGCUUUUAGAAGGAUACGGGUUUAGUGUUUAAAGUUGGGUUAUGGUUGAGGUUAGAGGAAGGGUGAGAGGGUUUGAGGUCAUUCUGAAAUGUGAUCAGUUGGUCACUGCAACCCUAAAGAAUACACGUUUGGGGUGUUAUAGGUUGGGGUAAAGGGUAGGAUUGAGGUUAAAAAGAGGUGUUAAGCCUAAAUCAUAACGGUAAGCCCAAAACCUGCUCAAGCCAACCCGUAACGCUGACUUUCUCACACCUAACCCUCUCACCCUAUCCCCCAACUACCUAACGGUUAACCCUCUCCUCCAAAAACCCUUUCUCUAAUCCCCUCACCCAAUUCCAAACCCAGACGCUUGUUCCUUGCACCUGUCAUGAGCUUUUUUCAGUUAGUGGAGAUGACAGCGCUGUUGGACGGUCUACGCUGGUGUGGCCUAGGAUAAGGAGAGGAACGCCAGUGCUGACUUGUCGAUGAAACGAAUUUAAGAACUGCUUCAGUCGUGUAUGCGGGAGAAGUGGCUCAGAUUGCAUCACUGUCGUCAUUUGGAAGUAUGGUGCAUUUCUGCUGUUUAUUCUUGUUGAUGAGUGUGCUAAGGGAAAUUAAAAAUUAAGGGAAAUUAAUCCUAAUUUCCCUUAAACCCUCAAACCCAGGGGUGUCCAAACUCUGUCCUUAAGGGCUGCUGUCCUGCCCGUUUCCCAGCUCCUCCAAGAGCAACACACCUGAUUCAAAUAAUCAGGAUCGUUGUAAUGCUGCUUCAGAGAUGCCUGAUGAGCUGAUCGUCUGAAUCGGGUGUGUUGCAGCCAGGAGAGAUGCAAAGCAGACAGGACAGCGGCCCUUUGAGACCAAGUUUGGACACCCCUGAGUUUCAGGGUAAAGGGAAAUUGGGGUUACGGUUGAAGUUUAGAGUAAGCAUUUGGGGUAUGGUUAAAGUGGUGAGGGGUAGAAUUGGGGGAUAAAGUUGGAGGGUUGACAGUUAGGGGUUUAUGGUUGAGGUAAGGGCACAAUGUUCAGGGUUAACCCUCGAGGUUUGAGUUUGGGGUUAGGAAUUGGAGUAAGGCAGAUAGAAUUUUUGGGUUCAGUGGUUAGAUGUAUAGGCAUUAAGGGUUAGGUGUUCAGAGUCAGGGUACAAGGAUUUUGUUUGAGUAUAGUCGGGUGUUAAGGUUAUGCGAUGACGCAUUCAGGCUGUUCGGUUCGUCAUACAGGCGAUUUGGGUUUGGUGUGUCGACGCUUUUAGGAUACGGGGGUUUGGUGUAAGUGUUUACUACCUAACGCUUAAUCCUCUAAUCCAAACCCAUGUGCUUGUUCGUUGCACCUGUAAUGAGCUUUUUCACAGGCCUGGUCUAUUUAGUGGAGAUGACGGCGCUGUUGGACGGUAUGCGCUGGUGCGGCUGGAUGGGUUGUGGAGCCGAGGAUUAGGAGAGAGAGGAACGUCGGUGUUGACUGUCGAAACAAAUUUAAGGCCUGGUCUAUUUAGUGGAGAUGACAGCGCUGUUGGACGGUCUGUGCUGGUGUGGCUGGUUGGCUUGUGGAGCAGAGGUCAAUGAGGAGAGGAACGUCAGUGCUGACUGUUGAUGAAACAAAUUUAA